rnacentral:rRNA from 1 species
UACGUAGGGUGCGAGCGUUGUCCGGAAUUAUUGGGCGUAAAGAGCUCGUAGGCGGUCUGUCGCGUCGAUCGUGAAAACUUGGGGCUUAACCCUGAGCUUGCGGUCGAUACGGGCAUGACUGGAGUUCGGCAGGGGAGACUGGAAUUCCUGGUGUAGCGGUGAAAUGCGCAGAUAUCUGGAGGAACACCGGUGGCGAAGGCGGCAUCCUGGACCGGCAUUGACGCUGAGGCGCGAAAGCCAGGGGAGCAAACGGG